rnacentral:rRNA from 1 species
UCAGGAUGAACGCUAGCUACAGGCUUAACACAUGCAAGUCGAGGGGCAUCAGGAAGAAAGCUUGCUUUCUUUGCUGGCGACCGGCGCACGGGUGAGUAACACGUAUCCAACCUGCCCUUUACUCGGGGAUAGCCUUUCGAAAGAAAGAUUAAUACCCGAUAGCAUAAUGAUUCCGCAUGGUUUCAUUAUUAAAGGAUUCCGGUAAAGGAUGGGGAUGCGUUCCAUUACGUUGUUGGUGAGGUAACGGCCCACCAAGCCUUCGAUGGAUAGGGGUUCUGAGAGGAAGGUCCCCCACAUUGGAACUGAGACACGGUCCAAACUCCUACGGGAGGCAGCAGUGAGGAAUAUUGGUCAAUGGGCGCUAGCCUGAACCAGCCAAGUAGCGUGAAGGAUGAAGGCUCUAUGGGUCGUAAACUUCUUUUAUAUAAGAAUAAAGUGCAGUAUGUAUACUGUUUUGUAUGUAUUAUAUGAAUAAGGAUCGGCUAACUCCGUGCCAGCAGCCGCGGUAAUACGGAGGAUCCGAGCGUUAUCCGGAUUUAUUGGGUUUAAAGGGAGCGUAGGUGGACUGGUAAGUCAGUUGUGAAAGUUUGCGGCUCAACCGUAAAAUUGCAGUUGAUACUGUCAGUCUUGAGUACAGUAGAGGUGGGCGGAAUUCGUGGUGUAGCGGUGAAAUGCUUAGAUAUCACGAAGAACUCCGAUUGCGAAGGCAGCUCACUGGACUGCAACUGACACUGAUGCUCGAAAGUGUGGGUAUCAAACAGGAUUAGAUACCCUGGUAGUCCACACAGUAAACGAUGAAUACUCGCUGUUUGCGAUAUACAGUAAGCGGCCAAGCGAAAGCAUUAAGUAUUCCACCUGGGGAGUACGCCGGCAACGGUGAAACUCAAAGGAAUUGACGGGGGCCCGCACAAGCGGAGGAACAUGUGGUUUAAUUCGAUGAUACGCGAGGAACCUUACCCGGGCUUAAAUUGCAGUGGAAUGAUGUGGAAACAUGUCAGUGAGCAAUCACCGCUGUGAAGGUGCUGCAUGGUUGUCGUCAGCUCGUGCCGUGAGGUGUCGGCUUAAGUGCCAUAACGAGCGCAACCCUUAUCUUCAGUUACUAACAGGUCAUGCUGAGGACUCUGGAGAGACUGCCGUCGUAAGAUGUGAGGAAGGUGGGGAUGACGUCAAAUCAGCACGGCCCUUACGUCCGGGGCUACACACGUGUUACAAUGGGGGGUACAGAAGGCAGCUAGCGGGUGACCGUAUGCUAAUCCCAAAAGCCUCUCUCAGUUCGGAUCGAAGUCUGCAACCCGACUUCGUGAAGCUGGAUUCGCUAGUAAUCGCGCAUCAGCCACGGCGCGGUGAAUACGUUCCCGGGCCUUGUACACACCGCCCGUCAAGCCAUGGGAGCCGGGGGUACCUGAAGUACGUAACCGCAAGGAUCGUCCUAGGGUAAAACUGGUG